CCCAGACUCCUACGGGAGGCAGCAGUGAGGAAUAUUGGUCAAUGGUCGCGAGACUGAACCAGCCAAGUAGCGUGCAGGAUGACGGCCCUAUGGGUUGUAAACUGCUUUUAUGCGGGGAUAAAAUGCGUCACGUGUGAUGUUUUGUAGGUACCGCAUGAAUAAGGACCGGCUAAUUCCGUGCCAGCAGCCGCGGUAAUACGGAAGGUCCGGGCGUUAUCCGGAUUUAUUGGGUUUAAAGGGUGCGUAGGCGGAACAGUAAGUCAGCGGUAAAAUCGAGGGGCUCAACCCCUUUAAGCCGUUGAAACUGGUGAUCUUGAGUGGGCGAGAAGUAUGCGGAAUGCGUGGUGUAGCGGUGAAAUGCAUAGAUAUCACGCAGAACUCCGAUUGCGAAGACAGCAUACCGGCGCCCGACUGACGCUGAGGCACGAAAGCGUGGGGAUCGAACAGGAUUAGAUACCCCCGUAAUU
rnacentral:rRNA from 1 species